rnacentral:misc_RNA from 1 species
ACACCCAUUCAGUGGCAUUCACCCAACCGCACCCAACAACCAAACAAAAGCUAAGAUAAAAGUAUGGACAGGACAAUAAGCUUCGAUGAAAUUCAAGAUGUUUUUCGUCUUAUCAGAAGUGUGAAAGAUAAAUGGGAGAGCAUUGGAGCUGGGUUUGGAAUCGACCCUUCUACCUUAAGCAAGGUUAAGGAAGAUGAACAUGACGUAAAAGACAAGUGUCUCUAUGCUACUUUGAAUAUCUGGUUGCAUGGAAAAUCUAGCAGCAAUUUUCAUAGUUGGAGAACAUUGUUAAAAGUGUUGAAAUCUGAAGAUGUGAAUGAGGGCACUCUUGCUGAGUCAAUCAUGGCUAAGAAAGCUGGAAAAACAGGGUUUCAAAGAGGUCCAAGUCUGGUAAGAUGUGGCCUGACUACUCCAAAUCAUGAAUUAUCGUCACAUGAAGAGCAGAGAUCAGCAGUUAUACUUACCUUGAAUCAUCUGCCAUUUCUUUUGGAGCAUCUUGAAUGUGUUGCUUCAAAGUGGAAACAAAUUGGUGUUUACUUAAACAUUCCACAAGGUCAUCUUGACAAUAUAAUAAGUACACCUACUCUUUUGUCAGGUGGUCCUGUAAGUUUCUUACAUGAAUUACUAACCUAUUGGCUAAGGCAAAGCAAUCCAAAUGCAGAUAAGCUCUUGACUGCUCUGAAAAAAACUGGAGAGCAUCAACUCUCUUGUACUUUAAAGAAAUUUUUUGAUCUUGGAAAUCACAAUGCAGAUAGUUACUAUGGGAGCACUGUUGGUUUAUUGGGUCUGUAUAAUGGUAAACCAGAGGAUGAUCUGCUAUCAAGAAAUGGAAACACAACUCUACCCUCUAAUGCCAGCACUGAAGAGAUUCAUUAUGAGUUUGGACUAACGUGGAUUAUUGCAAACCCUCAUGAUAGUCUUGUCACUUAUGAUGAAUUUGGUAGUUGGAGCACAUUUUAUAGACCAGAGUACAAACCAAUAUUUGAGCCACAAUUUAAUGACUCAACACUUGAAGAAGAAGCUCAAGAGAUAUGUGGUAAUAACAAGCUUUGUUUAAUUGUUUGAUAUUGCUGCUACUGGUGAUGUGAAUAUUGGACAGUCAACAAAAGAAACUGGAAAGGAUUUAACUGUUUUUGCUGAACUUUUGAAGCCUAUUGUACUUGUUUGUGAUCCUCCUUACAUAUAUGGGGCUUGUAUGGGCAAAAGUACAUGCUUUUGCUCAGAAGGAUAUAAUGAAACUAUGUGCAAUGAAACUACAAUACAGAACUGUCAGGAAAAUUUUGUCUUAACGAUGCUACAUGUCAAAUUGUAGCUGGGAAUUAUUUGUGUAUAUGUUCUAAUGGUUUCACUGGACCAAACUGUGGUACUAACAUUUUUUCCAGCAGUUUUCUUCCAAUGAGUUCAGGCUCUUCUUCCCUAGGACACAAUGAAGCAGGUUCAGCUAUUAGUCAAAAUGUUAUGAUUGGAUUAGCAGUUUGUGUUAUGGUCCUUGUCAUUAGAAUUAUAGCUGUAGUAGUUUGUUUGUGUGUCUUGAAAAAGAUGAUAGUAAAGGGGAGUGAAGAAGACAAUCAAUUAGUAAAUGAGAAGUAUGAACUGAAGUGAUUGUUCCUAUUUUAUUAAUUUUAGCUAUAGUUUAGACUGUUAUGCAUCAUGGUUAGUAUUGUAUUCCUAAUUCACUAUGAAAACAACAUAAAGCAUUAAUUGUGUGGACAAUUUGACCCUAUUAUGCAAGUUUUGCUUUGAAGUUGACACAAAAUUGGCCAAUUUUAAUUCUGUGUAUUGUGAUUUGCGGUGACUUUAAUCCUUCCUUUUGUGUUACACUUAAAUAUGAUGCCAAUUAAAACAGGCAAAUUUAU